GAUUAACGCUGGCGGCGUGCCUAACACAUGCAAGUCGAACGAUGAAACUUAGUCGACUUCUUCGGAAAGACACUAAGCGGAUUAGUGGCGAACGGGUGAGUAACGCGUGAGUAACCUGCCUUACACAAGGGGAUAGCCUUUGGAAACGAAGAAUAAUACCCUAUAAAACCAUAAAAGCACAUGCUAGAAUGGUCAAAGUGAUAGCGGUGUAAGAUGGACUUGCGUCUGAUUAGCUAGUUGGUGAGAUAAAAGCUCACCAAGGCAACGAUCAGUAGCCGGCUUGAGAGAGUGUACGGCCACAUUGGGACUGAGACACGGCCCAGACUCCUACGGGAGGCAGCAGUGGGGAAUUUUGCACAAUGGGGGAAACCCUGAUGCAGCGACGCCGCGUGAUUUAGAAGGCCUUCGGGUUGUAAAAAUCUUUUGUAUAGGAAGAAAAUGACAGUACUAUACGAAUAAGGUCCGGCUAAUUACGUG
rnacentral:rRNA from 1 species